AGAUAGGGCCUGAUUCAAAGCCCACUGAAGUCAAUGAAAGUCUUUCCACUGACUCCUAUGGGCUCUGGAUCAGGUCCAUGCU
rnacentral:pre_miRNA from 1 species